CGGAUUUGAGAUCGAUGAAUUUAUUAUAUCUGAGAUAUUGUUAUUUGAUUUUGAGCAUGAGUAUGUUAUGUCAAUAUAUAUAUAUCAGAGAUUGAUGGCAUGAUUAUAUGGAUAUGACAUAUCUGAAUUGAUCAUAAUGCAAGACAGAAUUGAUUUGAUGAAAUCAAUACAUAAUGAUUAAAUGAAAAGAAAGAGAUAUAUGGUAUGGACUAGCCUUGUCAUGUGGAACAGUCUGUCAGGAGCUUAUGCCUGGGACAGCCCCCACUGGCUUACAGAUGGAUCAGCCGGCCAGGAGCUCAUGCUUGGGACAGCCCG
rnacentral:lncRNA from 1 species